rnacentral:rRNA from 1 species
AAACUGAAGAGUUUGAUCCUGGCUCAGAUUGAACGCUGGCGGCAUGCCUUACACAUGCAAGUCGAACGGCA